rnacentral:rRNA from 1 species
GAUGAACGCUGGCGGCGUGCCUAAUACAUGCAAGUCGAGCGAACAGAUGAGGAGCUUGCUCCUCUGACGUUAGCGGCGGACGGGUGAGUAACACGUGGAUAACCUACCUAUAAGACUGGGAUAACUUCGGGAAACCGGAGCUAAUACCGGAUAAUAUAUUGAACCGCAUGGUUCAAUAGUGAAAGACGGUUUUGCUGUCACUUAUAGAUGGAUCCGCGCCGCUUUAGCUAGUUGGGAAGGUAACGGCUUACCAAGGCUGCGGUGCGUAGGUGACCUGAGAGGGUGAUCAGCCACACUGGAACAGAGACAGGGUAACGACUCCUACGGGAGGCAGCAGUGGGGAAUAUUGGACAAGGGGCGAAAGCCUGAUCCAGCCAUGCCGCGUGUGUGAAGAAGGUCUUCGGAUCGUAAAGCACUUUAAGUUGGGAGGAAGGGCAGUAAGUUAAUACCUUGAUGUUUUGACGUUACCAACAGAAUAAGCACCGGCUAACUUCGUG